UGAAGAAGGAAGCAUUUACCGUGCACAUAAAUUGAUUUGGGUCUCUAGGCCUGCCUUCUCUGAUGCCUUUUGGCUUUGAUUUGGGGGCAUGAUUUCGCAGCAAAACG